rnacentral:rRNA from 1 species
AUACGGAGGGGGUUAGCGUUGUUCGGAAUUACUGGGCGUAAAGCGUACGUAGGCGGAUUAGUAAGUUAGGGGUGAAAUCCCGAGGCUCAACCUCGGAACUGCCUCUAAAACUGCUAGUCUUGAGUUCGUGAGAGGUGAGUGGAAUUCCUAGUGUAGAGGUGAAAUUCGUAGAUAUUAGGAGGAACACCAGUGGCGAAGGCGGCUCACUGGCUCGAUACUGACGCUGAGGUACGAAAGUGUGGGGAGCAAACAGAAUUAGAAACCCCAGUAGUCC